rnacentral:ncRNA from 1 species
ACAAGCAGGGGAGUCCGCAAACGGGCUGAGAAAAGGCUGCUUCGCCUUGACCCUUUUACCUGAUACGGAUAAUGCCGUCGUAGGAAGCCAUAUC